rnacentral:rRNA from 1 species
AGCGGCGGAUGGGUGAGUAACACGUGGGGAACCUGCCCCUAAGUCUGGGAUACCAUUUGGAAACAGGUGCUAAUACCGGAUAAUAAAGCAGAUCGCAUGAUCAGCUUUUGAAAGGCGGCGUAAGCUGUCGCUAAGGGAUGGCCCCGCGGUGCAUUAGCUAGUUGGUAAGGUAACGGCUUACCAAGGCGACGAUGCAUAGCCGAGUUGAGAGACUGAUCGGCCACAUUGGGACUGAGACACGGCCCAAACUCCUACGGGAGGCAGCAGUAGGGAAUCUUCCACAAUGGACGCAAGUCUGAUGGAGCAACGCCGCGUGAGUGAAGAAGGUUUUCGGAUCGUAAAGCUCUGUUGUUGGUGAAGAAGGAUAGAGGUAGUAACUGGCCUUUAUUUGACGGUAAUCAACCAGAAAGUCACGGCUAACUACGUGCCAGCAGCCGCGGUAAUACGUAGGUGGCAAGCGUUGUCCGGAUUUAUUGGGCGUAAAGCGAGCGCAGGCGGAAAAAUAAGUCUAAUGUGAAAGCCCUCGGCUUAACCGAGGAAACUGCAUCGGAAAACUGUUUUUUCUUGAGUGCAGAAGAGGAGAGUGGAAACUCCCAUGUGUAGCGGUGGGAAUGCGUAGAUAUAUGGGAAGAACACCAGUGGGCGAAGGCGGCUCUCUGGGUCUGCAACUGACGCUGAAGCUCGAAAGCAUGGGUAGCCGAACGGAAUUAGAUACCCCUGGUAGUCUCAUGGCCUAAACCCAUGGAGUGCUAAAGUGG